rnacentral:rRNA from 1 species
UACAGGGGGGGCAAGCGUUGUUCGGAAUUACUGGGCGUAAAGGGUUCGUAGGUGGCCAACUAAGUCAUACGUGAAAUCCCUCGGCUUAACCGGGGAACUGCGUCCGAUACUGGUUGGCUUGAGUUUGGGAGAGGGAUGCGGAAUUCCAGGUGUAGCGGUGAAAUGCGUAGAUAUCUGGAGGAACACCGGUGGCGAAGGCGGCAUCCUGGACCAAUACUGACGCUGAGGAGCGAAAGCCAGGGGAGCAAACGGG